AAUCAACGCUGGCGGCGUGCCUAACACAUGCAAGUCGAACGAGAAAGUGGAGCAAUCCAUGAGUACGGUGGCGACCGGGUGAGUAACACGUGACUAACCUACCCUAGAGUGGGGGAUAACCCCGGGAAACCGGGGCUAAUACCGCAUGACAUCGCGAGGGGAAGAUCCUUGCGAUCAAAGGAGUAAUCCGCUCAAGGAGGGGGUCGCGGCUGAUUAGUUAGUUGGUAGGGUAACGGCCUACCAAGACGAAGAUCAGUAGCCGGCCUGAGAGGGCGCACGGCCACACUGGAACUGAAACACGGUCCAGACUCCUACGGGAGGCAGCAGUGGGGAAUUUUGCGCAAUGGGGGAAACCCUGACGCAGCAACGCCGCGUGGAGGAUGAAGUCCCUUGGGAUGUAAACUCCUUUCGAUCGGGACGAUUAUGACGGUACCGGAAGAAGAAGCACCGGCUAACUCUGUGCCAGCAGCCGCAGUAA
rnacentral:rRNA from 1 species